CACUAACCGCACCGGAAAUCCUCAAGAACCCUAGCUAUAAAUACUUAAAUUAAAUCCUUCUUUUGAGGAUUCAGAGCCCAAGGGAUUAGAGCUUUGAAUCAUCUCUCAAUGCUCUACAUCACGUCAACAUGAAAUUGAAGAAAAGUGAAGGUUUCAGGGAUUACCUUGCCAGAGAUGACGAAGACGACGGUGAAGGAAUU
rnacentral:lncRNA from 1 species